rnacentral:rRNA from 1 species
UGGGGAAUUUUGGACAAUGGGCGAAAGCCUGAUCCAGCCAUGCCGCGUGCAGGAUGAAGGCCUUCGGGUUGUAAACUGCUUUUGUACGGAACGAAAAGACUCUGGUUAAUACCUGGGGUCCAUGACGGUACCGUAAGAAUAAGCACCGGCUAACUACGUGCCAGCAGCCGCGGUAAUACGUAGGGUGCAAGCGUUAAUCGGAAUUACUGGGCGUAAAGCGUGCGCAGGCGGUUAUAUAAGACAGAUGUGAAAUCCCCGGGCUCAACCUGGGAACUGCAUUUGUGACUGUAUAGCUAGAGUACGGCAGAGGGGGAUGGAAUUCCGCGUGUAGCAGUGAAAUGCGUAGAUAUGCGGAGGAACACCGAUGGCGAAGGCAAUCCCCUGGGCCUGUACUGACGCUCAUGCACGAAAGCGUGGGGAGCAAAACAGGAUUAGAUACCCUGGUAGUCCACGCCCUAAACGAUGUCAACUGGUUGUUGGGUCUUCACUGACUCAGUAACGAAGCUAAACGCGUGAAGUUGACCGCCUGGGGAGUACGGCCGCAAGGUUGAAACUUAAAUGAAUUGACGGGGUCAUAGCUGUUUCCU